CUGUCACGACCGGUCCUAAUUAAGGAUAAUUAAGCCGGGAAAUCGUGACUAAUGGAGGGAAAUUAGAAGCGGGGUAGAAAGGGGAUAAUCAAACCAGGAAGGAUCGCAUUUCAUCAUUAAACAAAGGGAUAUUUAUAAUAUAACAGAAGUUUAGUCGUAUAGACUCAAAUAACUAGUAAGUUCAGAUAUCUCUGACUUAGCCAAAUAAACAUAAAACUUCUGAGUACGCAGCGG
rnacentral:lncRNA from 1 species